rnacentral:tRNA from 1 species
GUCCUUGUAGCGCAAUAAAUAGCUCGUUGGACUUCUAAUUCAAAGGUUGUGGGCUUGAAUCCCACCUGGGAUG